AACAACGCUGGCGGCGUGCCUAACACAUGCAAGUCGUACGAGAAAGUCGGCUUCGGCCGAUGAGUACAGUGGCGCACGGGUGAGUAGCGCGUGGGUAAUCUGCCCCCCGGUCAGGAAUAACCCGCCGAAAGGCGGGCUAAUACCCGAUAACACUGACGCUCCGCGGAGCGUCUUUCAAAGGAGGCCUCUGUUUACAAGCUUUCGCCGGAGGAUGAGCCCGCGUACCAUUAGCUAGUUGGCAGGGUAAUGGCCUACCAAGGCUGCGAUGGUUAGCUGGUCUGAGAGGAUGGCCAGCCACACUGGAACUGAGACACGGUCCAGACUCCUACGGGAGGCAGCAGUGAGGAAUCUUGCGCAAUGGGGGAAACCCUGACGCAGCAACGCCGCGUGAGUGAGGAAGGCCUUCGGGUCGUAAACUGCUUUUGUACGGAACGAAAAGCCCUUCUCUAAUAAAGGGGGGUCAUGACGGUACCGUAAGAAUAAGCACCGGCUAACUACGUG
rnacentral:rRNA from 1 species